GUGCUCACAUCGGCAGUACGUAUACAAAACUCGGAAUGAUAUGAUAAGAGAUUAGCUUGGCCCCUACACACAAGGAUGACCCAAAAACUCUUAAAGUGUUCCAUAUUUUA
ensembl:snRNA U6 U6 spliceosomal RNA